GAUGAACGCUAGCGGCAGGCUUAAUACAUGCAAGUCGUGGGGCAGCAGGUCUGUAGCAAUACAGAUGCUGGCGACCGGCAAACGGGUGCGUAACACGUACGCAACCUUCCCGUUACUGGGGAAUAGCCCAGGGAAACUUGGAUUAAUACCCCAUAUUAUAUUGGUUAGGCAUCUGACUGAUAUCAAAGCUUCGGCGGUAACGGAUGGGCGUGCGGUUGAUUAGGUAGUUGGCGGGGUAACGGCCCACCAAGCCUACGAUCAAUAGCUGAUGUGAGAGCAUGAUCAGCCACACGGGCACUGAGACACGGGCCCGACUCCUACGGGAGGCAGCAGUAAGGAAUAUUGGGCAAUGGACGAAAGUCUGACCCAGCCAUGCCGCGUGAAGGAUGAAGGUCCUCUGGAUUGUAAACUUCUUUUAUCUGGGGCGAAAAUCGGUUAUUCUUAGCCGCUUGACAGUACCAGAUGAAUAAGCACCGGCUAACUCCGUGCCAGCAGCCGCCGUAAGAC
rnacentral:rRNA from 1 species